CGCAGCCGUGUCAAAUUCAGUGCUUCUGCCACAGUGACGGUGUAGUUCAUGGGCCCCACGGUGCUCCAUCAUGGCCACUGGGGAUACAUAUGUACUACACACAAAC